UGCAGAAUCCCGUGAACCAUCGAGUCUUUGAACGCAAGUUGCGCCCCAAGCCUUCCGGCCGAGGGCACGUCUGCCUGGGCGUCACAAAUCGUCGUUCCCCACACGAAAUUUUGUGAGAGCGGGACGGAAGCUGGUUUCCCGUGUGUUACCGCACGCGGUUGGCCAAAAUCUGAGCCGAGGAUGCUGGGAGCGUCCCGACAUGCGGUGGUGAUUUAAAGCCUCUUCAUAAUGCCGGUCGCUCCUGUCCGUAAGCUCCGUUGACCCAAUGUCAUCAAAGCGACCCCAGGUCAGGCGGGACCACCCGCUGAGUUUAAGCAUAUCAAUAAGCGGAGGAAAAGAAACUAACAAGGAUUCCCUUAGUAACGGCGAGCGAACCGGGAAGAGCCCAGCUUGAAAAUCGGACGUCUUCGGCGUUCGA
rnacentral:rRNA from 1 species